rnacentral:rRNA from 1 species
AACGCGAAGAACCUUACCUGGUCUUGACAUGUACGGAACCCUCCAGAGACGGAGGGGUGCCUUCGGGAGCCGUAACACAGGUGCUGCAUGGCUGUCGUCAGCUCGUGUCGUGAGAUGUUGGGUUAAGUCCCGCAACGAGCGCAACCCUUGUCAUUAGUUGCCAUCAUUAAGUUGGGCACUCUAAUGAGACUGCCGGUGACAAGCCGGAGGAAGGUGGGGAUGACGUCAAGUCCUCAUGGCCCUUAUGACCAGGGCUUCACACGUCAUACAAUGGUCGGUACAGAGGGUAGCCAAGCCGCGAGGUGGUGCCAAUCUCACAAAGCCGAUCGUAGUCCGGAUUGCACUCUGCAACUCGAGUGCAUGAAGUCGGAAUCGCUAGUAAUCGCAGGUCAGCAUACUGCGGUGAAUACGUUCCCGGGCCUUGUACACACCGAG